rnacentral:lncRNA from 1 species
UUUCUUGAUUUCAACCCUGCACUUGGAGCCUACCAGGACGACAGCAAGUGCUUGAACUGGAGUGAACCCUGGUAUGUAAUAUACAGAAACUACGAAGUUGACCCAUUACUCGGCGACAGCACCCAAUGCGCGAGUGCAAGUGUAGUGACGAGUGACCCGGCAGAGCCAGCAUUUUGGACUAAAGAACAGGGCGAGACCACACGGUUCUUAAAAGAUACCCUGCUGUCAUCACCGGGCUACAGAUCCAAAAACUUGGUUCAUGUCCAGAGUGCAGCACCCGGACAGCAACCAAGCAAAC